rnacentral:misc_RNA from 1 species
GGCCGGGUUUUAGUAUAUACAAGUUUUUGAAAUAUCUAAAAGGAGCAAUACCCCCUCUUGAUAGAACAAGAGGAGGUUAUUGCUCCUUUUAGAUAUUUUCAAUCUCGGC